rnacentral:rRNA from 1 species
AUUGAACGCUGGCGGCAGGCCUAACACAUGCAAGUCGAGCGGAGCGGCGGACGGGUGAGUAAUGUCUCGGAACCUGCCUGAUGUAGGGGGAUAAUGUCCGGAAACGGGCGCUAAUACCGCAUACUAUCAGAUGAGCCUAGGUCGGAUUAGCUAGUUGGUGGGGUAAAGGCCUACCAAGGCGACGCUCCGUAACUGGUCUGAGAGGAUGAUCAGUCAAACUGGAACUGAGACACGGUCCAGACUCCUACGGGAGGCAGCAGUGGGGAAUAUUGGACAAUGGGCGAAAGCCUGAUCCAGCCAUGCCGCGUGUGUGAAGAAGGUCUUCGGAUUGUAAAGCACUUUAAGUUGGGAGGCGUUACCAACAGAAUAAGCACCGGCUAACUUCGUGCCAGCAGCCGCGGUAAUAC